rnacentral:lncRNA from 10 species
CUUUAACAUGCUGUUUUCUUUUGUAACAGGACAAAAUUGGAGACACUGGUUAUUUUCCCCAAGGCUUUGAAUGAAUGACAUGCUUUCGGAUACAAACAGACUCCUUUAAGAAAUCAAUGUUAACUUAGAGAGCCAAUAAAAUCCCCUUGGGAAAAGUGGACCCACAUCUUGUCUACACAAUCCCUGUGCAGGCUUUCUCACCUGUGUGAUCCAUGGCUGAGGCUCAGAAGAAACAAGAGGGAUGGGCCAUCAAUCACCAGAUGAU